AUGGACGCUAACCGUGACUCCAGCCUCGCCACCGACGACGAGCUCCUCCAAGCGCAGGCGGAGCUGUGGAACCACGUCUUCGCGUACACCAAGUCUAUGUCCCUCCGGUGCGCCGUCGAGCUCGGCAUCCCCGACGCCAUCCACCGGCGCGGCGGCUCCAUCACUGUGCCCGACCUCGUCGCCGAGCUCUCCCUGCCCCCCUCCAGGACGCCCUACCUGCGCCGCCUCAUGCGUCUGCUCGCGCACGCCGGUUUCUUCGACGCUGGGCCAGCGCCAGACGCCUACGGGCUCACCCUGCUCUCGCGCCUCCUCGUGUCGGCGCCCGGCGCGGGGCAGGGCCUCUCGCCGUUCGCGCUCGCCAUGCUGCACCCCAUCAUCGUGUCCCCGUCCAUGUCGCUGGCGGCGUGGUUCCGCGCGGCCGACGACGCGGCGCGCGUGCCGUUCGCGACCGCGCACGGCGGGCGCGAGUUCUAUGCUGUGGUGAAGGAGAACCCGGAGUUCGGCGCGGCGUUCAACGAGGCCAUGGCGUGCGACGGCCGCUUCGUGAUGGACCUGAUCGUGCGCGUCCACGGGCAAGACCUGUUCCGGGGGAUCGCCUCGCUGGUGGACGUCGGCGGCGGGUCCGGCGCCGCUGCCAGGGCCAUCGCCGCCGCGUUCCCCCACGUCAAGUGCAGCGUCCUGGAGCUGCCGCACGUCGUCGCGAGCGUCCCGCCUGGCGACGGGGGCGUGGAGUUCGUCGCCGGGGACAUGUUCGAGCGCGUCCCGAAGGCCGACGCCGUCCUCCUCAAGUGGAUUUUGCACGGGUGGGGGGACGAGGAGUGCGUGAAGAUACUGCGGCGGUGCAGGGAGGCGUUGCCGGCCGGCGGCAGAGUGAUCGUGAUGGACCUGGUGGUGGGGUCGAGCCCGGCGGACGCGAGGGCCACGGAGACGCAGCUGCUGUGGGACGUGAUGAUGAUGGGAGUGGUGGGGAGCCCGGAGCGGGACGAGGGCGAGUGGCGCAAGAUAUUCGACGACGCGGGAUUCAGCGGCUACAAGAUCCUGGCCAUCCUCGGGAUCCGGUCAGUUAUCGAGGUGUACCCUUAG
rnacentral:rRNA from 1 species